GAAGUAGUAUAAUAAUCAAAACAAUAAACACCUAACUAUUCUAUAUAAAAGAAAAAUAAAAUAAAGCACGAUUAAUAGUGCAAAAGAAAAACAAAAUGCAAACACCUGUAACAUUCCUAAAUGGAAUUAGAGACAAGCCAGUUCUCAUCUAUGAAUGAAUGUAUUCUUGCACAUAUUUACCAAACGCGUGCAUCUUUAAAAUGCAAAUAUGCGAACUGGGGAUAUACCAACAUCCUCUAGUAUACUUUUGAUUUGACAAACAGAAAUUGUUACCUCAAUCAAACGCCAAAAGCUCAUCCAGCUGUUCGUCUGUCCAAUGGGGGACUGAACUUCUUUGACUAUCCAUCUGCCUCUGACUUUCCAACUGAAUUUCCAUCUCAGUUUUUUCAGCACGAGAUGUAUGAACUGAGUUCGAUGUAGAACUAUUGCCUUGAGCAAUCUGCGCUAAACUAUCGGCUUCUUCAUUCAAUUCAGGAGGAUUGGGUUGAUCUUCCAUCUCACAAUCAAGCUCACUAACACAAUUUACUUCCACAUGUCCAGCAUUAUCCAGACUUAACGGCAAGUUCUCUCUUUCUGAAACAGUUUCUCUGUGAGACGACGUUGAAGCCAAAACUUCAGCUCGCUGCCGGGGCGGAGAGGAUGUACUUCCAGAUGCAAACAACCUUUCAGGCCUUUCUGUUGCAAAGAGAGCCAUGUAUGAGUUUCCAAUAGCUCGGCAUUAUCAAUUACGCACAAAAAAUGUGUUCAGGAAUACUUGAUAAAAGAACUUGAUUCAUAGAUGUGCACCUACCCGUACUAGGUGUAGCGCGCAUCACUGGGCGUACAGGAUGUAUUAAUUGUUCUGAUGGAGGUCCACAGUCCUUGGAGAAGACCUGUGUAACAUAUUAACAAGCUAUGUAUUCCUGAACAUAAGCAUAUGUAUAGUAAAAGGAUUAUACAAUUUUUUCAUCCAAUCAUAAAUUGAUAAAUGUAUCAAAUCUAUCUACUUUUGCAAUAAAUACCUUGAAAGCCAUAUCUACUGAGAUUUCUGAUUGAUCUACGUUGACAAUGCACAUAAAUUAAACUUAAUAAGAGAAGAUAGUGUAUUCACCAGUGUCAUCUAAUCAUAGACUGACAAAUAUGGUAAAUUU
rnacentral:sRNA from 1 species